rnacentral:rRNA from 1 species
CUGAAGAGUUUGAUCAUGGCUCAGAUUGAACGCUGGCGGCAGGCUUAACACAUGCAAGUCGAGCGCACUCUUCGGAGUGAGCGGCAGACGGGUGAGUAACGCGUGGGAACCUACCUUUAGGUACGGAAUAACAGUUAGAAAUGACUGCUAAUACCGUAUGUGCCCGAGAGGGGAAAGAUUUAUCGCCUAAAGAUGGGCCCGCGUUGGAUUAGCUAGUUGGUGAGGUAAUGGCUCACCAAGGCGACGAUCCAUAGCUGGUUUGAGAGGAUGAUCAGCCACACUGGAACUGAGACACGGUCCAGACUACUACGGGAGGCAGCAGUGGGGAA